GCCCUAGUAGCCCAGUACUUAAGGCAUCGGUCUUGUAAACCGAAGAACAGAGGUGGAACUCCUCUCUAGAGCA
rnacentral:tRNA from 1 species